UACGGAGGAUGCAAGCGUUAUCCGGAAUGAUUGGGCGUAAAGCGUCCGCAGGUGGCUGUGUAAGUCUGCUGUUAAAGAGUGAGGCUCAACCUCAUAAAGGCAGUGGAAACUACAUGGCUAGAGUGCGUUCGGGGCAGAGGGAAUUCCUGGUGUAGCGGUGAAAUGCGUAGAUAUCUGGAGGAACACCGGUGGCGAAGGCGGCAUCCUGGACCAACACUGACGCUGAGGAGCGAAAGCCAGGGGAGCAAGCGGG
rnacentral:rRNA from 1 species